GCUGGGCAUGGUGGCGCAUGCCUGUAGUCCCAGCUACUUGGGAGGCUGAGGCAGGAUAAUUGCUUGAACCCAGGAAGCGGAGGAUGCAGUGAGCCGAGAUCACGUCACUGCUCUCCAGCCUGGGCGACGGAGCAAGACUCUGCCUCAA
rnacentral:SRP_RNA from 1 species